GGUGUAGGUACCUUGACAACAAAGGAAAAAAUACGACUAAUAAUACUCUGCUCCGAACCAUUUUUCGUUAACAGUAAUAUAUCGGAAUAUAUUUACUAACAGUGACACACCCAGGAGGGAUGAUUGUCCCAGGUCGUCAAAAUCUUUUUAAAACUAUGGAGCGUCCGGCUCAAUGUAAAACUCGAAAUAAAAGUAACAAUGUCACUUAUUAAAUUAUAUCACUUGUUAGUUAUUGUAUUUCCAAACGCUUUGUUUAGAGUUAUAAUGAAUAUUAUUCGAAAAUUAAAAUAGAGCGUUAAGUUCGACUAAUAACAUAAUAUGUGUACCUAGACAAAAAUUUAGGAGUAAAUAAGAAUCUUAUUUGAUGGAGGUCAAAUUUUGAAAUUUUAAUAUCAAUUUAAUAAAAUUGUUAAAGAAACAACAAACUUGGAAGGAUGAUUAACCAUCAAAAUCGUCAUUAAAGGGAAUCGCUUAAAAAUUGAUGCCCUUGUGCGCUAAAUGGCUCGGCACAGCUCUGGACACACCCAACAGCUGCCUUUUUUUUCUGAACGGUUGAAGAGCUAUCGAUUUGUAUAUAAACUGGCGCGACUGUGUAUUAUUAAUUAUUAUUAUUAUAGCCGUCACUACACUUCCGACGAAAAUUAUAUUUAAUUAAUUAAUUACGUAUUAGCCAACAAUGUAAUAUUAUUAUAUGCUUACG